GAUUUCAACUGAAAAUGUCAUCAACAACAAAGUUGUAUAAUUCAUAAAGAUCUAUAACUUUUAUUUGGGUCAUUUAUUCAUCCCAUAAAGUGAUUUGUAUCAUUGUUCACAAAAUGUACAUUAUAUAUAGUUUUAUACACUGUAUAAGAGAUAUGUAAAUUUUGUGAACAAUGUUACUAUCACUUUAUCGGAUGAAGAAAUGACCCUAAUAAAAGUUAUAGAUAUUGAUGAGUUAUACAACUUUGUUGUUGAUAACUUUUUCANNNNNNNNN
rnacentral:pre_miRNA from 1 species